CGAAAGCGGUGGAAGUCAAUCGA
rnacentral:snRNA from 1 species